CCUGAAGAUACCUUCCGGCGCAGUGUCCACACAGAUUGUCUGAUAGAAGUAAUGAGCAAGGCGCCUGCGAAGUCGCGACACACCGUGUCCCCUUCGUCUAGCGGUUAGGACUCCGCCCUUUCACGGCGGCAACAGGGGUUCGAAUCCCCUAGGGGACGCCACUUGCUUGGUGACAGGUGAAAGGUGUCGCUAAAAAUAUCUUAAAGCUGACUGCAAAGUCAGGUUUAAGAUAUUGCUCUUUAACAAUCCGGAACAAGCUGAAAAUUGAAACGACAUGUCGUAUUCAUUCUCCGUAAUCAGAAUGAAGCCACGAUAUGUUCGAGUCUCUCAAUGCCUGCAACCGACACACGUCUUUCGGGACGCUUGUGGGUUGUGA
rnacentral:misc_RNA from 1 species